UACGAGGGGGGGCGAGCGUUGUUCGGAAUCAUUGGGCGUAAAGGGCGCGUAGGUGGCCCCUCAAGCGUGCGGUGAAAGUCAGGGGCUCAACCCCUGAUCGGCCGUGCGAACUGGGGAGCUUGAGCACUGUAGAGGCAGGCGGAAUUCCUGGUGUAGCGGUGGAAUGCGCAGAUAUCAGGAGGAACACCGAUGGCGAAGGCAGAUCUCUGGGCCGUAACUGACGCUGAGGAGCGAAAGCAUGGGGAGCGAACAGG
rnacentral:rRNA from 1 species